rnacentral:rRNA from 1 species
CCAGACUCCUACGGGAGGCAGCAGUGGGGAAUAUUGCACAAUGGGGGAAACCCUGAUGCAGCGACGCCGCGUGGGCGAGGAAGUACCUCGGUAUGUAAAGCCCUAUCAGCAGGGAAGAAACAGGACAGUACCUGACUAAGAAGCCCCGGCUAACUACGUGCCAGCAGCCGCGGUAAUACGUAGGGGGCAAGCGUUAUCCGGAUUUAUUGGGUUUAAAGGGUGCGCAGGCGGAAGAUCAAGUCAGCGGUAAAAUGGGGAGGCUCAACCUCUGCGAGCCGUUGAAACUGGUUUUCUUGAGUGAGUGAGAAGUAUGCGGAAUGCGUGGUGUAGCGGUGAAAUGCAUAGAUAUCACGCAGAACUCCGAUUGCGAAGGCAGCAUACCGGCGCUCAACUGACGCUCAUGCACGAAAGUGUGGGUAUCGAACAGGAUUAGAUACCCUUGUAUU